CUCUCUCUCUCUCUCUCUCUCUCUCUCUCUGAAACAAACAAAAGUCCUUUUAGAAAACAACUUUGCUGUCAUGUCUUGUGGAAUGAGGGGGCCACUGAAGAGCUUGUUGCUACUUAGAUUUGAGGUUUGUCACAUACUCACCAUAGAGAAUCCUUGUCUUAUAGAGCAGGUAUCUUCCAAAACUACUUAUUCCAAAAGAUGCCAAGUUAGCAGUAACACUGUUACUCAGAGAUGCAUUCAGAAUGUAUCCCCCUCAAGCCAUGAAGUGCAGAUACUAACACUUGCCAUCUAAAUACAAGCCUUAUUCAUAUUUCCUCAACAGAUACAAAAGCAAGAUAGACUUAAUGGGUAAAGGAAAUGAUUCAUGCCUUUUCACUUCAUAUUUUGGUGUUUGAUUCUCUUUAGUAGCAUGGGUAUAUAUGGUGGUUUCAAUGAGAAUGGUUCACAAAUUGGUUCAUGUUUGAAUACUUGGUUCCCAGUUGGUGGAACUCUUCCAGGAGGAUUAGGGGGUAAGGCCUUGCUAGAUAGGUAUCACAGGAGAGGGCUUUGAGGCUUCAAAAGUAUAGCACCAUUCCCCAUCUGCUUGCUACCACAUUCCCUGCCAUUUCAUAGACUCUAACCUUCUGAAACUGUGAGCCCCAAAUUAAACAUAUUUCUCUGUAAGUUACUUUGUUCAUGGUGUCAUAUCAUAACAGUAGAAAAGUAGGUAAGACAGUAUAUAAAGUUCAAUGAAAAGAUUUCCAGCUAAUGUUUUUCCAGCUUUUAACUUAUUUCAUUUCAGAUUUAUAUUGAGUAAAGGAAAUAGUGAAACACAAAACUCCCCUGGAGCUUGCCCACAGGCUCUGGCAGGAAGUCUUCAGCCUCCCUUGGCCAAUGCACACUUUGAGCUUUGGUUCCCCAUCUAGAAGUGGAAUGACCACUCUCCUGAGUUGCAGGCAUCCUAGCAGCCUCUGUAGCACUGAAAGAGUUGUCCUCAGGAUUUCCUCACCACCUAUUCUCCCCUCUCCAUCUACUGGGCCCACAGGCUUCUAUCUUCUUUUUGUUCCUCAAACUGUCAAGUUAUGAACCCUUGAUGACAGAGCUAAAGAAACUUGGAGUUUCCAGGGAAACAGAAAGCUCAUUCCUGGCGGUAAAUGGCAUAUGGCUAGGAAGUGUGAGGAACUGGCCUACAACAUACCACUGUGGAUCUAUAAGUGCUCAAGAUCUGAAGGAUGGGUUCUGAGUGUCCCAACAUGGUACUUCCUGUUGGGAUACCCAGGUUUUCCCAUCACCAUUAUACUGCUAACAGUUCCUGCUGAUGCUAUAGCUGUAGACCCUGGGUUCCUUUUGGUAGAUGGCUUGGCUCCAAUGGAAGAAGUGGAGGGCCAGCGAGGUAGUGUCUGGGGUCUCCCCUGGGAGGCAAGCCCAAUGCUAGGCCUCUCUAGCCACUUCCUCAACGAGGAGAUAAUUCCAGUAUCCCUGGGGACAGAACCAGAAUCUUUGCCCUUUCAAGAACACUGUUCAUUGCAAGGUCACAGCCCUGCCUGUUUUUCUUUGUUGAACUAUCCCAGGAACACAGGGAUGUGCUGCUUUCUCACCUGGAAAACAAAAGAAAAGAAGGCACCCUAUUCCACACCUCCUCUGGGUACUGAUUAUCUUACUUUUCUCUGGUGCAAAUCUCCAGAAGGUUAGGACUCACUGUCCCCUCCCUCCCACAACUGGCUUCCACUGGCUUGUCACUGUCAUCCUAGGCCUGAUAUCUUCCCGCCUCAAGUCUCAGCUAUCCUUCUCCUGGGCACUGGAUGUUUCAAUGCUGGAAAAGUAUGAGCCAUGUAGUUUGCUGAGACCACAAAGCCUUUCCUCCACAAAAUGUGGACAGGAACCAGCAUACAAGGCCAUAGGCAACCCCUUGUUCCAUGCUACAAAGGCUGUCUCCACUCCAUGUCCCAGUGACCAGGAUAUGACCCACCACCCCAUCUUGACCUUCUUGGUACUUCAUGGAAUGAACAUGUGAAGGCUAAUCAUUUGGUUGACUGUGACCUGCUGACUGCUCUGUUCUGGUACCUGUGCCAACUUUGUGUUCAAAAGACAACUGAGGGUACCAGGAACCCUGAGACCUAGGAACAUUAGAAAAUGACAUUAGGGGUGGUGGCCUUGGCUCUCUGGGAACAAAUAUCACCCAAUUGUUACCUCCCACCACACCCAUCAUCCCCAGCAGAAAGCAACCAGACUGGGUCUCCUGCUGUACUAAUGUAUUCCAUCUUUCAAAAAGAAAGACAUGAUUUUAAUAUUACUUAACAAUAUGUUAAAAAAGUAGCCAGGCAGGCCUCCGUGUUAAUACGGUUGUACGCUCUAGAACAGACUUGAUGGUGUGAGUACUGGGUGGGUUUCUUGUUUUUAACAUUCUCAUUCUGCAAAGGGUCUUACACAAGCUGGCUACAAGUCAGGGGGUCAAACACAAACAGCGCAACGUGUACACUCGGAAACAGUAGAUUGUGAAAGAGUACAAAGGAGGCCUGCCCGCCCAGUCCGCCUUGGGUGGGACACAGGGCACAUGGGAGCUGAGGGAUGGCUGACACCCUGGCGGGGACAGAUGACAGAACAGGGCAAGAUGCAGAGGCGACAGAGUCACAUGGAUGAUGCAAACUCGUCUCUGGCCACGGCCCAGGCCUCUGAGGCCGUGGUAGUGGAGGAAUUGGCGGGAACUACUGUUCCAUUCCAACAGCACAGAGCUACAAUCAAAGAAGUCUCACUCACAGACUACACGCACACAAGCUAACAACGCAGGUCGAGCAGCAAGUUCUCGGUCUGGGGGUUAUCAGUCCACGGCAUCCCGCCCUACACACCCUGGGUGGGUACCGAAGCUCUGUGGAGCCACUGAAGGGCUUGGCUCUUGAGUGGCGCAGCCCAGCUGCCUCCCACAUAUCCCUCUUCAGGCAGUCCUCAUUCAGUGGGCAGCAAAGGUGGCUUUCUUCAAGCUAAAGUUGGACCAGUUGAUGGACAGUCUUUGUCGGUUCUGUCUAGCAGAGUCCAAGCAGAAUCUGGCAAAACAAAAUGGCAAAUUGUCACAGGACAGAGACUAUACCCAGUCUGGUAACCAUUAUGCCAACCUCUUAUUCUUGCUAGCAAUUCACUGGAGAGACUCAAUGAGGUUUAAGGUCAAAAGUCUCCAUGCUUGGAGGAGUGGUACCACCCUGCCCAAGUGGCUUGUGCAUCUUCUGGUGCUUUCUGACAUUUGAUACUGUGUUUAGGGGAGGAUCAAGACAGUAUUAAAAAAAAAAAAAACAACCCCCCCCCAGCACUUAGUAUAGGACAAAAUGUACCAAGCAUCACUGAAGGGUUCAAGGAAAGCUCUUCUCAUGUGACCAUCUGAGAGCAGCUGACAUUCAGUCGUUACUCUGCCAGAAAAAAGGGGCUAGGGGGUUGCCACUUCCCUAUUUCAGAGGCUCCUAGGGACUGAUGUAAAUUCUGAUACUCUGUCUAAGCUACUACCUAAGUCAUACCCUGAUGACCCAUAGGAGUUUGGAACUGCUGGGCAGCAUCAGGCCAGAAGUCACUACACAAGAAGUAGGACUCCAGGGCAGCCCUACAAUAGGUCUUCCUGUGAUAAAGUCUUGUUCAAUAGCAUGAACUCACUCAAAACAACAAAUAUGUUCAGGGUAAGAAGCUACCAGCUAGCUCAGCCUCCACAGCAGCUGUGAGUCUCAGAAAGGAAGGCACUUGUGGUCACUGUGGUUGGGCAGGAGAGUCACAACUAGGGUCAAUGGCAGAUGCCCACUUGACCAGGAUGUGCCACAAGAGACGCUAGAAGAGCAGGCUACUAAGUUUAAGGAUAACGUUGCCAGGAGCCAAACCAAAACUUCUGUAACUGACCAGAAAGUGUGACAAGCUUCGUAGACAUAAUAGUCUGUGGCAAUUUGGCACCAAGCUUAAAUGACACACAGGGAGCCGUGGUCACACAGACUCAGCUGGUAUCUCUGGUGUUCAUGUGAAACAACAUCUAAAGAAUGAAAUCCAAAGUCUGUAUAAUUUUUGUACAUCCAAAAAUAUUUGUUCCCCAACUGAUUCAAUGUGCACAUUCUCUUAGCUCAGCAGUCACACAGAACCAAGGGCUGGCUGGGUAUGGCCCAUAGCCUGCAUCAAGUGGAUUGAAUCAAAGGCAACAGCUAAGCCCAUGUGUAAAGUUGAGAUUUUGGCCUGUCUUAAACCUAUUCACAAAAGAACUUACUACAAUGGGACAGAUUACAAUACUCUGGCCCUCCACUUCAUCCAAAAAGACAUGUCCUCUGUAUGUGAAGGUCUUCAGGCUUGAACCAUCUGCAAGCUCUGUGCUCUGAGCCAUAAACACUGGAAGUUAAAUAGUUUCUGAAAAAGAUCACCCUUUGGGGAUGGGGACAGCCCAGUGACAAAUGCAUAACUGUUCUUCCAGAGUAUCCACUUUUGGUUCCCAAUACCCAUUUUGGGUGGUUCACAACUUCCUGUAACUCCAGUUCCAGGGCAUCUAAUAGAUCUUCUAUCCUCUGAGAGCAUUCCCACAUGUGUACACAUACACACCCAAAACGUUAAAAUAAAUCUCAAAACAAAACAAAACAAAA